rnacentral:rRNA from 1 species
ACUUAGACAUGCAUGGCUUAAUCAUAUGCUUGUCUCAAAGAUUAAGCCAUGCAUGUCUAAGUACAUGCCGAAAUAAGGCGAAACCGCGAAUGGCUCAUUAAAUCAGUUAUGGUUCCUUAGAUCGUUUCUUCCUACUUGGAUAACUGUGGCAAUUCUAGAGCUAAUACAUGCAGUGAGCCUGGAGCCCUUUGGGUAACGGGUGCUUUUAUUAGACCAAGAUCGAUCGGGUUUCGGCCCGUAUUGUGUGGUGACUCUGGAUAACUUUGUGCUGAUCGCAUGGCCACGAGCCGGCGACGUUUCUUUCAAGUGUCUGCCUUAUCAACUUUCGAUGGUAGGUUACUUGCUUACCAUGGUUGUUACGGGUAACGGAGAAUCAGGGUUCGAUUCCGGAGAGGGAGCCUGAGAAACGGCUACCACAUCCAAGGAAGGCAGCAGGCGCGCAAAUUACCCACUCCCGGCACGGGGAGGUAGUGACGAAAAAUAACAAUACGGGACUCUUUUGAGGCCCCGUAAUUGAAAUGAGUACACUCUAAAUCCUUUAACGAGGAUCAAUUGGAGGGCAAGUCUGGUGCCAGCAGCCGCGGUAAUUCCAGCUCCAAUAGCGUAUACUAAAGCUGCUGCGGUUAAAAAGCUCGUAGUUGGAUCUCAGUUCCAGACGAGUAGUGCAUCUACCCGAUGCGACGGCUCGGACUGAACAUCAUGCCGGUUCUUUCUUGGUGCACUUCAUUGUGUGCCUCGAGAUGGCCGGUGCUUUUACUUUGAAAAAAUUAGAGUGCUCAACGCAGGCGAGUCGCCUGAAUAAACUUGCAUGGAAUAAUAGAACAAGACCUCGUUUCUGUUCUGUUGGUUUUUGGAAUACGAGGUAAUGAUUAAGAGGGACGGACGGGGGCAUUCGUAUUGCGGCGCUAGAGGUGAAAUUCUUGGACCGUCGCAAGACGAACUACUGCGAAAGCAUUUGCCAAGAAUGUUUUCAUUGAUCAAGAACGAAAGUCAGAGGUUCGAAGGCGAUCAGAUACCGCCCUAGUUCUGACCAUAAACGAUGCCAACCAGCGAUCCGCCUGAGUUACUCAAAUGACUCGGCGGGCAGCUUCCGGGAAACCAAAGUAUUUGGGUUCCGGGGAAGUAUGGUUGCAAAGCUGAAACUUAAAGGAAUUGACGGAAGGGCACCACCAGGAGUGGAGCCUGCGGCUUAAUUUGACUCAACACGGGAAAACUUACCCGGCCCGGACACUGGGAGGAUUGACAGAUUGAGAGCUCUUUCUUGAUUCGGUGGAUGGUGGUGCAUGGCCGUUCUUAGUUGGUGGAGCGAUUUGUCUGGUUAAUUCCGAUAACGAACGAGACUCUAGCCUAUUAAAUAGGUGCGGGGUUCCCAGCACCUUACAACCUUCUUAGAGGGACAAGCGGCUCCUAGCCGCACGAAACAGAGCAAUAACAGGUCUGUGAUGCCCUUAGAUGUCCGGGGCCGCACGCGCGCUACACUGAAGGAAGCAGCGUGUCUUUAUCCCUGUCUGAAAAGACUGGGUAACCCGUGGAACUUCUUUCGUGAUUGGGAUAGGGGCUUGCAAUUGUUCCCCUUGAACGAGGAAUUCCCAGUAAGCGCGAGUCAUAAGCUCGCGUUGAUUACGUCCCUGCCCUUUGUACACACCGCCCGUCGCUACUACCGAUUGAAUGAUUUAGUGAGGUCUUCGGACCGAUGUCCGGCGCGGCCUUUCGGUUGCGCCGGUCUGUUGGAAAGAUGACCAAACUUGAUCAUUUAGAGGAAGUAAAAGUCGUAACAAGGUUUCCGUAGGUGAACCUGCGGAAG